UCAGUGUUCUGGUUUGUCAAGCGACGUGAUGGUUGCAGGAAGGAUCUCAAGUAUCCAGGAACCUUCACCGUCACGCAGGAGCCUCAAAAACUUAUUAAGCACAGCUCUCCUAUCCAUCUCAAGACGCAUCGUUCACUCCAGCAGCGUUCUCAUAGUGGGGCGAGAAUGGUGAGGCCUUUACCUCUCCCUUUUUUGCUUGUUGAGUCCAUCGCCUGCCACCAACACAUCUCUCACGCCUGUAUUCAACAUUCCAUCUGUUUCUUUCCAUCCAAUCACAACUACAUCAGCUAACACCUUCAAAUGAACCAAGCAAUCUUACCAUCUCCCUCACCAACUUUUCACCAUUACCUUAACCUCCUGAUAUACUAACCUCCUUCACCAUUCCUCCAACACUCCAAAAUAACCAAGCAUUCAUACAUCUCCCUCACCAACCUUUCACCAUUACUUUAACCCAUACAACACUAACCUCCUUUAACAUGUGCCCCCAAACUUCCCCUUAUAAAGGAAAAGGCUCAAAUACUACGCCAAAACUUUAUCUUUUCUUCUUUUAUAUAUACAGAACAGUCUCUUCGUUAGCCUGGUUAUAGAUAAGAUAAAUAACAGAAUAUUCUACUGUUAUGAUUCCAUUACAAAAUAAUUUCUAUACACCAGAUGUCUUGCCACUGAUUACAUUACUGCCAGCAUGAAUGUACAAGGAGAAAACUGGAUAAGAUGUGGAGGAUGUCAGAAUAAUGAGCAUGCAAGGGUGGUGGAGUACAGCUGGCCACUCCAUCCACCUCACACAGCUUCCACAUCACCACCAGGAAGGUUUGGGCCUGUCAGGAGGCCAACUUGGUUCUCUCUAUGCCUUGGGAGCAAGAGCCUUGAGGUCAGCCAUGCACUGCUUCAGGGUGGCGGCCUCCUGUGCUGGGGUGAUGGAGCCCUUCACAUUCUUCACAAUCCAGUCCACCAUGUGCUUCUGCUGCAGCCGAGUCUUCACGUUGGCCACCUCCAGCUGGUAGUCCAGCCGCUUCUUCACCUGUACGCACACAAAUGCACACCGAAUUAAAUACUUGAUAAGC